UAGGGAAUCUUCGGCAAUGGACGGAAGUCUGACCGAGCAACGCCGCGUGAGUGAAGAAGGUUUUCGGAUCGUAAAGCUCUGUUGUUAGAGAAGAACGUUGGUAGGAGUGGAAAAUCUACCAAGUGACGGUAACUAACCAGAAAGGGACGGCUAACUACGUGCCAGCAGCCGCGGUAAUACGUAGGUCCCGAGCGUUGUCCGGAUUUAUUGGGCGUAAAGCGAGCGCAGGCGGUUCUUUAAGUCUGAAGUUAAAGGCAGUGGCUUAACCAUUGUACGCUUUGGAAACUGGAGGACUUGAGUGCAGAAGGGGAGAGUGGAAUUCCAUGUGUAGCGGUGAAAUGCGUAGAUAUAUGGAGGAACACCGGUGGCGAAAGCGGCUCUCUGGUCUGUAACUGACGCUGAGGCUCGAAAGCGUGGGGAGCAAACAGGAUUAGAUACCCUGGUAGUCCACGCCGUAAACGAUGAGUGCUAGGUGUUAGGCCCUUUCCGGGGCUUAGUGCCGCAGCUAACACAUUAAGCACUCCGCCUGGGGAGUACGACCGCAAGGUUG
rnacentral:rRNA from 1 species